UGGACUGGUCGAAAGACCCAGAUCCAACCAAAAGAACAGGCGGGGGAACUCCCC
ncrna:unclassified sequences DTF3800-XI RNA